rnacentral:rRNA from 1 species
GUGACGAUGCGACGCCGCGUGGAGGAUGAAGGCCUUCGGGUCGUAAACUCCUUUUAGUAGGGAAGAAUCUGGUGGGGUCGAAUAGGCUCUGCCGGCGACGGUACCUACAGAAUAAGCCACGGCUAACUCCGUGCCAGCAGCCGCGGUAAUACGUAUGGUGCGAACGUUGUUCGGAAUCACUGGGCAUAAAGAGCACGUAGGCGGUUGAGCAAGUCCAUUGUGAAAUCCCCCGGCUUAACCGGGGAACCGCAGUGGAUACUACUCGACUUGAGUACAGGAGGGGAGAGUGGAAUUCCAGGUGGAGCGGUGAAAUGCGUAGAUAUCUGGAGGAACGCCGGUGGCGAAAGCGACUCUCUGGUCUGUAACUGACGCUGAGGUGCGAAAGCUAGGGGAGCAAACGGGAUUAGAUACCCCGGUAGUCCUAGCCCUAAACGAU